GUUGUCGUCAGCUCGUGUCGUGAGAUGUUGGGUUAAGUCCCGCAACGAGCGCAACCCUUGAACUUAGUUGCCAUCAUUCAGUUGGGCACUCUAAGUUGACUGCCGGUGACAAACCGGAGGAAGGUGGGGAUGACGUCAAAUCAUCAUGCCCCUUAUGAUUUGGGCUACACACGUGCUACAAUGGACAAUACAAAGGGCAGCGAAACCGCGAGGUCAAGCAAAUCCCAUAAAGUUGUUCUCAGUUCGGAUUGUAGUCUGCAACUCGACUACAUGAAGCUGGAAUCGCUAGUAAUCGUAGAUCAGCAUGCUACGGUGAAUACGUUCCCGGGUCUUGUACACACCGCCCGUCACACCACGAGAGUUUGUAACACCCGAAGCCGGUGGAGUAACCAUUUUGGAGCUAGCC
rnacentral:rRNA from 1 species